rnacentral:rRNA from 1 species
CGGACGGGUGGGUAAUGUCUGGGAAACUGCCCGAUGGAGGGGGAUAACUACUGGAAACGGUAGCUAAUACCGCAUAACGUCGCAAGACCAAAGAGGGGGACCUUAGGGCCUCUUGCCAUCGGAUGUGCCCAGAUGGGAUUAGCUAGUAGGUGGGGUAACGGCUCACCUAGGCGACGAUCCCUAGCUGGUCUGAGAGGAUGACCAGCCACACUGGAACUGAGACACGGUCCAG